AGAGUUUGAUCCUGGCUCAGGACGAACGCUGGCGGCACGCUUAACACAUGCAAGUCGAACGAGAGAAGAGAAGCUUGCUUUUCUGAUCUAGUGGCGGACGGGUGAGUAACACGUGAGCAAUCUGCCUUUCAGAGGGGGAUACCGAUUGGAAACGAUCGUUAAUACCGCAUAACAUAAUUGAACCGCAUGAUUUGAUUAUCAAAGAUUUAUCGCUGAAAGAUGAGCUCGCGUCUGAUUAGCUAGUUGGUAAGGUAACGGCUUACCAAGGCGACGAUCAGUAGCCGGACUGAGAGGUUGAUCGGCCACAUUGGGACUGAGACACGGCCCAGACUCCUACGGGAGGCAGCAGUGGGGAAUAUUGCACAAUGGAGGAAACUCUGAUGCAGCGAUGCCGCGUGAGGGAAGAAGGUUUUAGGAUUGUAAACCUCUGUCUUCAGGGACGAAAAAAGACGGUACCUGAGGAGGAAGCUCCGGCUAACUACGUGCCAGCAGCCGCGGUAAUACGUAGGGAGCGAGCGUUGUCCGGAAUUACUGGGUGUAAAGGGAGCGUAGGCGGGAUCGCAAGUCAGAUGUGAAAACUAUGGGCUUAACCCAUAAACUGCAUUUGAAACUGUGGUUCUUGAGUGAAGUAGAGGUAAGCGGAAUUCCUAGUGUAGCGGUGAAAUGCGUAGAUAUUAGGAGGAACAUCAGUGGCGAAGGCGGCUUACUGGGCUUUAACUGACGCUGAGGCUCGAAAGCGUGGGGAGCAAACAGGAUUAGAUACCCUGGUAGUCCACGCCGUAAACGAUGAUUACUAGGUGUGGGGGGACUGACCCCUUCCGUGCCGGAGUUAACACAAUAAGUAAUCCACCUGGGGAGUACGACCGCAAGGUUGAAACUCAAAGGAAUUGACGGGGGCCCGCACAAGCAGUGGA
rnacentral:rRNA from 1 species